rnacentral:rRNA from 1 species
CAGUAGCCGCGGGAAUACGGAGGGAGCUAGCGUUGUUCGGAAUUACUGGGCGUAAAGCGCACGUAGGCGGUUAUUCAAGUCAGAGGUGAAAGCCCGGGGCUCAACCCCGGAACUGCCUUUGAAACUAGAUGACUAGAAUCUUGGAGAGGUCAGUGGAAUUCCGAGUGUAGAGGUGAAGUCCGUAGAUAUUCGGAAGAACACCAGUGGCGAAGGCGACUGACUGGACAGGUAUUGACGCUGAGGUGCGAAAGCGUGUGGAGCAAACAGGAUUAGAUACCCGUGUAGUCCCUGUCUCUUAUAC